AUGCUAGCUGCUACCAUUUUUCUUCCUCGGGGUCGCAGGCACGAAGGGUGCAUCCCCCGCGUGGCGGCGCGGACCCCGUCGCUUCUGUGCCUCAGUCUCCACGCCUGUAGAAUGGGAUUUGCCCGCCUUCGGGGUUGUGGGUAUUCGCGCUGGGGCUGGCACAGUCCGGCCACCGAGGCCAUCCGCCUCGCCCCCCUGAGCUGGGUCCCGCCGAGCGCCGACCGUGGUUGCCCGCGAUGCGGAGGACGCGAGGGUGGAAGGUGCGCGUUGGAGGCCCAGAGGGGUGAAGCGACUGUGCCCAAGGUGACACGGCGGGUGCGCCUGUGCCUCAGAGAGGAGGGAAGUGAAGACUCCGUGCGCAGCCAAUGCUCCUUGGCUCCUGGAGUACCUCGAUUCUACUGCACCUUGCCUUCCAACCCUGAAGCCCAUCCCUGAUCCUUCGGUUCUUGGCAGCCCUGCUCAUAACCCCAGAUCCUUACCACUGAUACAAACCACACGGAAUCCUUCUGGAAAAGGCAGGUCAAAAAGAAACAAUCCACUUCAAGCUCUCAUCUCCUAUCCUAAAACCAACCCAAACCUUAACCUAGCUCACACCUAACUCCUGAGUUAAUCUUGACCUUGGCCCCCUGCCCAACUCUCCAAUCUUCUCUCCCCACCACUGUUCCCACUCCCCCACCUCCAAGUAGCCUCCUUUGAAGGUCUGCUAAAGUCUCCUGAAGCUUAUUUCAAAGCCUCUGGACCUUUGUACAUGCUGUGGGCCCCCCAACUGGAACAUCCUUUUCCUGGGGCCACUGGGUGACCUCUCAGCUGUCACAUCAAUGGUAAGCCGUUUGGGUUUCCACUCCCCACCUGUGCUAUCUUUUCCCCUGGCCAGGCUUUCCAGAGACUCUGAAAUCUCAGAGGAUAGGGUUCAAGUCAGCUAUAAGUAGAAAUUGGGAGGAAAAACAAUUAAUUGCCUGUGACUAAUUGAAUGAAUGAAUGAGCGAGUAAGGAAGCGAAUGAAUGAGGAAUGAAUGGGUGAAUGAGUUAUUGAAUAAACAAGUGAAGAGCUAUCCUGAGCCUGAAUCC
rnacentral:lncRNA from 1 species